rnacentral:rRNA from 1 species
UAGUCCACGCCGUAAACGAUGGAUACUCGAUGUUGGGAGUCUCAACCGCUCUCAGUGUCUAAGCUAACGCGAUAAGUAUCCCGCCUGGGGAGUACGGUCACAAGAUUAAAACUCAAAGGAAUAGACGGGGACCCACACAAGCGGUGGAUCAUCUGGUUUAAUUCGAUAAUAAGCGGGGAACCUUACCUAGGUUUGACAUCCCGAGAAUCCCACAGAAAUGAGGGAGUGCCUUCUGGAACUCGGUGACAGGUGCUGCAUGGUUGUCGUCAGCUCGUGCCUUGAGGUGUUCGGUUAAGUCCGUGAACGAGCGCAACCCUUGUGCUGUGUUGUAUUUUUCACUAGCAGACUGCCGGCUUCAAGUCGGAGGAAGGUAAGGAUGACGUCAAAUCAGCAUGGCCCUUAUACCUAGGGCUACACAGGUGAUACAAUGGCAAGUACAACGGGUAGCCAAGCAGUAAUGCGGAGCCAAUCCUUCAAAGCUUGCCUAAGUUCGGAUAGAGGG